CUACACAUGCAGUCGAACGGUAACAGGAAGCAGCUUGCUGCUUUGCUGACGAGUGGCGGACGGGUGAGUAAUGUCUGGGAAACUGCCUGAUGGAGGGGGAUAACUACUGGAAACGGUAGCUAAUACCGCAUAACGUCGCAAGACCAAAGAGGGGGACCUUCGGGCCUCUUGCCAUCGGAUGUGCCCAGAUGGGAUUAGCUAGUAGGUGGGGUAACGGCUCACCUAGGCGACGAUCCCUAGCUGGUCUGAGAGGAUGACCAGCCACACUGGAACUGAGACACGGUCCAGACUCCUACGGGAGGCAGCAGUGGGGAAUAUUGCACAAUGGGCGCAAGCCUGAUGCAGCCAUGCCGCGUGUAUGAAGAAGGCCUUCGGGUUGUAAAGUACUUUCAGCGGGGAGGAAGGCGAUAAGGUUAAUAACCUUGUCGAUUGACGUUACCCGCAGAAGAAGCACCGGCUAACUCCGUGCCAGCAGCCGCGGUAAUACGGAGGGUGCAAGCGUUAAUCGGAAUUACUGGGCGUAAAGCGCACGCAGGCGGUCUGUCAAGUCGGAUGUGAAAUCCCCGGGCUCAACCUGGGAACUGCAUUCGAAACUGGCAGGCUAGAGUCUUGUAGAGGGGGGUAGAAUUCCAGGUGUAGCGGUGAAAUGCGUAGAGAUCUGGAGGAAUACCGGUGGCGAAGGCGGCCCCUGGACAAAGACUGACGCUCAGGUGCGAAAGCGUGGGGAGCAAACAGGAUUAGAUACCCUGGUAGUCCACGCCGUAAACGAUGUCGACUUGGAGGUUGUGCCCUUGAGGCGUGGCUUCCGGAGCUAACGCGUUAAGUCGACCGCCUGGGGAGUACGGCCGCAAGGUUAAAACUCAAAUGAAUUGACGGGGGCCCGCACAAGCGGUGGAGCAUGUGGUUUAAUUCGAUGCAACGCGAAGAACCUUACCUACUCUUGACAUCCAGAGAACUUACCAGAGAUGCAUUGGUGCCUUCGGGAACUCUGAGACAGGUGCUGCAUGGCUGUCGUCAGCUCGUGUUGUGAAAUGUUGGGUUAAGUCCCGCAACGAGCGCAACCCUUAUCCUUUGUUGCCAGCGGUCCGGCCGGGAACUCAAAGGAGACUGCCAGUGAUAACUGG
rnacentral:rRNA from 1 species